AAGUAUUACAGCUCUUUUAGAAUUUGUCUAGCAUGUUUUCUGAUUUUUACUGGGAAACCCCC
rnacentral:snRNA from 1 species